rnacentral:lncRNA from 1 species
CCGGAGCCUCUCGUGCUCCUUUUCCCUUCUCUCCCGGGACCGCGACCGGGACCGCGUUCUCCUGACCUUGGGUGGGGACGCCGGAUCUUUGUGCCGGCGCCUCCUGGGUGACUCCCACCCGUAUCUGAUCUCCUCGAGCUCCAUGCGCAGUCUAUCCUCGUCGUCCCAUUCCUCGUUGGCCCUUACUUCCUCCGAAUACCGGUCGCGGGAGUGAUGUCGCGUUGGCUGGUACUCCUCCG